rnacentral:misc_RNA from 1 species
AGAGGAAGGAGAAGUCGUAACAAGGUUUCCGUAGGUGAACCUGCGGAAGGAUCAUUGUCGAGUCCCGCGAGAGCAGAACGACCCGCGAACCUGUUUACUCAACGUCGGGAGGGGGCGGCCCUUCCCGCGGCGGGAGAGCGCGGCCGCGGCCCCUCGCGGGCAGCGCCGCGUUCCCCCGCGAAAAAUAACCAAACACCGGCGCGGGACGCGCCAAGGAAAAGAAACGAACGAGCGCGCCCCCGACCCCCGCAACGGCGGCGAGGGGGCGUCGCGAGCUUCGCUCACUACGCAAAACGACUCUCGGCAACGGAUAUCUCGGCUCUCGCAUCGAUGAAGAACGUAGCGAAAUGCGAUACUUGGUGUGAAUUGCAGAAUCCCGUGAACCAUCGAGUCUUUGAACGCAAGUUGCGCCCGAAGCCAUUCGGCCGAGGGCACGUCUGCCUGGGCGUCACGCACGCCGUCGCCCCCCGCCCGUGCCGUCCCCUCGGGGGCGCGCGCGCGAGCGGCGGGGCGGAAAUUGGCCCCCCGUGCCCGCGAGGUGCGGUCGGCCGAAAAAGAGGGAUCCCGGUGGCGGCGGUCACGGCCGGUGGUGGUUGUCAAACCUCAGCGUCUCGGCGAGUGCCCUUCCACCGAUUGGAGUGCCCAACGCGACCCUCGAGCGAUGCCCCAGGGCGUCGCCCACGACGCGACCCCAGGUCAGGCGGGACUACCCGCUGAGUUUAA